UCUAUUGAUCAUCUUCUAGUCUUCUUGUGUUUUAGAAGACAUCCCGGUGAUGAAGGCAGGAAUAAUUAGAAAAAUAUUAAACAGUUUCAUCUUAAUUGUUGGUGUAUAUGUAUAUAUAUGUAUAUAUAUAUAUAUAUAUGUAUAUAUACAUAUAUACAUACAAGUAUGUAUAUAUACAUAUAUACAUAUAUAUGGCGUAUGCAAUAUUUUUGAUAAGGUAAGGAUCAACACUAAAUGGGCAGAGGCUCAACACGGUGGCGGCGUUCGCAGGUCUGGUUAAGAUCAACGGUUCAAAUCGACGUAAUUCGAUCACAAAAUCUAGGGUUUCUUCGUCUCGUCCUCCCACCACCACUAUAUAACAUAACCAGCGGCCGUCUCUCCGAUAACAACUUCAACCCAAUUCCUCACAAGUCGGACUUCAUCUCUGCCUCUAUUUCUUUCUUUGCUUCUUCUACCUCGUCGCUGUUCUAUUUGGUAAAAGGCAAUGAAGAAACCCAAUCCUCGUGCCCCGGAGAUGGAUCCAACCAUCGCUGACGGUGACACAAACCCUCUAAGAAAGGUAACGGAUGCAGUAAAGAGAAAUUUAGCCUACACAUUGGACUAAAGAGAGAAAUCUCAUAAGUAGUACAGGUUGCAAGACAAACCAACUAGCGGAUUAUGCGCAUGAGAACUCGCCAAGUUGAGUUGCUCAGAGGAUGCUACAGCGGCUCCCUCUUUCUUCUGCCUGAGAUGCAGUGGCUUGUUGAUAUCUGCUAGGGUUUGAUUGUUUGUAUGCGAACUCGAAGGUAUUAAGACCGUACUAUCAUUGAAGCAAAAGGAGCAAAGAACAAAAGGAGAAUUAGGUACCGGCAAUAAGAAUGCAUAGACAUUCCUGCAAAGCACAGAUAUUACCUUUUCUCUCAUUCGUUGGCUCCAGGCGUCGUUUCUGCUCGGACGAUGGUCGAGAGUGCCAAGAACAGGUGGAACUCCUUGGCGAUUCAUUAGCGGCUGUCGGAUGUACUCAUCAUCACUGUCGUACUCGACGGCUCUGUUAGCAGCAGCUCUUACCAUAAGAGCUAGCACGAACACUAAAGCCUGCAUGCAUGCCACAAGGUCCAUGAUGGAAAUUACAGUUUGAAGAGGAUCAAGUGAAGUGCAACACGAAAAAAUGUAUAAAGAAUAGUCAAUUGGCACAACAAAGGAGAAUGAUAGGUGAUAUCAGAAAGGAACUAUUAUGAUGUUACAUUUCAUCAUACAUCUGUUCUUUUGAAUAUGUAUUUUUUA